rnacentral:rRNA from 1 species
UACGUAGGGUGCAAGCGUUGUUCGGAAUCAUUGGGCGUAAAGCGCGUGUAGGUAGCUAAUUAAGUCGGAUGUGAAAGCCCUGGGCUCAACUCAGGAAGUGCAUUCGAAACUGGCUGGCUAGAAGAUGGUAGAGGAAGGUGGAAUUCCAAGUGUAGAGGUGAAAUUCGUAGAUAUUUGGAGGAAUACCGGCGGCGAAGGCGGCCUUCUGGGCCAUUCUUGACACUGAGACGCGAAAGCGUGGGGAGCAAACAGG